GACGAACGCUGGCGGCGUGCUUAACACAUGCAAGUCGAACGGAAAGGCCUUGCUUUUGUGGGGUGCUCGAGUGGCGAACGGGUGAGUAACACGUUAGUAACCUGCCCUUGACUGUGGGAUAACUUCAAGAAACUGGGGCUAAUACCGGAUAGGAGCUCCUGCUGCCUGGUGGGGGUUGGAAAGUUUCGGCGGUUGGGGAUGGACUCGCGGCUUAUCAGCUUGUUGGUGGGGUAGUGGCUUACCAAGGCUUUGACGGGUAGCCGGCGUGAGCGGGUGACCGGCCACAAUGGGAGUGCGGUGCGGCGCCGGCUACUACGGGGGGCAGCAGUGGGGAAUAUUGCACAAUGGGCGGAAGCCUGAUGCAGCAGCGCCGCGGGGGGGAUGACGGCCUUCGGGUUGUAAACCGCUUUCGCCUGUGACGAAGCGUGAGUGACGGUAAUGGGUAAAGAAGCACCGGCUAACUACGUG
rnacentral:rRNA from 1 species